CCUACGGGUGGCUGCAGUGAGGAAUAUUGGUCAAUGGGCGCGAGCCUGAACCAGCCACGUCGCGUGAGGGAUGACGGUCCUACGGAUUGUAAACCUCUUUUUCCGGGGAGCAAGCAUGCGUUCGUGAACGCGCGUCGAGAGUACCCUGACAAAAAGCAUCGGCUAACUCCGUGCCAGCAGCCGCGGUAAUACGGAGGAUGCGCGCGUUAUCCGGAUUUAUUGGGUUUAAAGGGUGCGUAGGCGGGAGGCCAAGUCAGCGGUAAAAAUGCGGUGCUCAACGCCGUCGAGCCGUUGAAACUGGCGUGCUUGAGUGGGCGAGAAGUAUGUGGGAUGCGGGGUGUAGCGGUGAAAUGCAUAGAUAUCACGCAGAACUCCGAUUGCGAAGGCAGCAUACCGGCGCCCUACUGACGCUGAGGCACGAAAGCGUGGGUAGCGAACAGGAUCAGAUACCCGAGUAGUC
rnacentral:rRNA from 1 species